UUUGGUUUCUGAAAUUCUUUAAGUGUUUCUUAAUUUUGUAUUGUACAGGGGAAGAUGUGUUUACUCCAGUUCCUUUUGAAAUCUGUUGCAGUUUUGCCAUGAAUUAUGAUUGGAACAGAUUGAAAAAUGUCUUUGUUUCAAUUUUCCUAAAAUAAAUUAUUCAAAGCAGCUCAUUAUCUAUAAUUCUAUCCUGAGUUAAAAUAAAAAUAUUCUUUCUAGGUCAAUCUUCAUUGAGCUAUUAAUAUCCUUUUCAUAUUAUAAGAUUUCUUAAUUUCCUUUAUUAGCAACUGCAAGCAGCUGAAUGUCAUUGCUUUGAGUAUUAAUUGAUAUUUGAGUUCUCUUCAGUGGUUUUGCUCUUCCUUAUGUCAGCAACCUUCAGUCUAGUACACAUAGAACCCAGAUCGUUCUCAUACGGGACGCAGGGGGAUCCAAAGCAUUGGAUCCAUUGAACCGUAUUUAUGCUUUAAUUUUACUUCUGGUGAUAGAUGUGCCUCUUCUAUAAUUUGCAUGGCAGCAAAAUUCAGAAUUGUUGCAGAGACAUACAAUUAUUGGUUCAUUUGGGAAAGCUGGAACUUUAUUAUCUUACUGUAUGUUCAAGAACAUAAAAACUUGAGCAUACAUAAAUGAGAAGUCAACUUACAAAAUUCAGCACAGCAUCUGAAUAUUUGGUUCAUUAUAUUAAACGAUAUGUGAUUUGUUCAAAAAGAAUAUAUAAAAAUCUAUUUAUUAUUGAAGUAUAGAUAGUUUACAGGGAAAAUUGUAUUGGUUUCAAGUGUACAGCAAAGGGAUUCAGUUAUACAUAUAUAUAUUUUUUUGAAUUCUUUUCCAUUAUAGGUUAUGACAAGAUAUUGAAUAUAAUUCCCUGUGUUAUACAGUAGGUCCUUGUUGGUUAUUUUAUAUAUAAUAGUAUUUAUUUUUUAAUCUCAAUAUCCUAAUUUAUUACUCUACCCACCUCCCCUUUGAUAAGCUUGUUUUCUAUAUCUGUGAGUCUGUUUCUGCUUUGUAUCAUUUUUUAAAAGAUUCCACAUAUAAGUGAUAUCAUAUGAUAUUUGUCUUUGUCUGACUUACUUCACUUAAUAUGAUAAUCUCUAGGUCCAUCCAUAUUGCUGCAAAUGGCAUUAUUUCAUUCAUUUUUAUGGUUAGAGAACUUGUAAGUUUUAGUUACAUCACACAUGCAGAGUCUCCUAAAGAACAUUCUUGUAUGUAUUUUAGAGUUCUUAUAUAAAAAUGCUUCACCAGGAGUUCCUGUUGUGGCACAGUGGAUAAUGAAUCUGACUAGGAACCAUGAGGUUGCAGGUUUGAUCCCUGGCCUUGCUUAAUGGGUUAAGGAUCUGGCGUUGCCAUGAGCUGUGGUGUAUGUCGCAGAUGCAGCUCGGAUCCCGUGUUCCUGUGGCUCUGGCGUAGGCUGGAGGCUGCAGUUCUGAUUUGAUCCCUAGUCUGGGAACCUCUAUGUGCCGGGGGAAGCAGCCCUAGAAAAGGCAAAAAGACAAAAAAAAAAAAAAUGCUUCACCAAAGUGUGUGGAAAUUUAUUUUAUUACCUGUACUACCAUAAAUCUAAGCCAAUAAUCAACAUUAUGAGCUUUUUCUUGUUUGCAAAUCCAAAAAUUCAAAAAUAAAUCUCUCCCUUUUUGAAUUCCUUCCUUCACCUGCUGAAGCCUCUCCACCUGCCCUUUAGAUUACACACCAUGUUUCCUGCUGGGACUCAAAGACUCCAGUUGUCUCAAAACUUGGUGAUAGGGAGUUCUCUGGUAGUGUAGUGCCUAGGACUCAGCACUUUCACCACUGUGGCCCAGGUUCAGUCCCUGGUCUGGGAACUGAUAUCGUCUGGCCAAAGUCCAAGAAGACCAAAACGUAACACCCCCAAACCAAAAAACACUUGAUGGCAAUACAAAGUGUAUUCACUACUUCACCCAAGGGUGUAUUGGGCCUGGUAUUGCACUGAAGGCUGAAGCUACUACAGUUGUGAACGAAAGUGGUAUCUUCCAUAUUUGCCUCUCUGGAACUUCCACAGUUGCCUCUAUGGAACUUAUAGGUCAGGGACAGAGAUGUUACUGAGAUAAUUGUUGGAAUGCAGGUGCAUUUCCCAACUGAGAAGAGGCCUGUGGGUAUAGAAGGAUCUGUUUCAGUCUGAUGAUGGUGGCUGGCAGGGAAGGGCUCCCUGGGAAAAGAUCUUUGCUCUGAAGAUGAGUAGGAGCUAAUCGACCAUCAUAAUUGGGGUAGUAAAUGGGCUAGGAGGAAGAGCUCUGUAAUUGGACAUGCAAAGGCCCUGUGGUAGGAGGCAGGGAAACAAGUUUGAGGAACUGAAAGAAAGCCAUGUGGCUGAGACUAGAACACAAGGUGAAGUUUGGUGACAGGUAAAGCCAAAAUGGGCUAGAAUAAAGCCUGCCUGAUUAUUUUGUAAAUGCAGUAAGAAGGCAGUGAUGAAUUUAAGCAAAGGUGGAAGUCAAGGUGAGGAUGGUGUGUGUAUGUGUGUGUGUGUUUUCAUAGGCAGGUACCCUGAUUGGGUUUACAUUACGUAAAUUGUAAUAAAAUAUGAAAAGAAGGCCUAGAUUUUAAAAAGUCAUGAUCUUGCUUACCAUGCACCUGUUGCCCAUGUAAGCAAAUAGUUCAUGAUUCUUUUGGAAUUAGUUCUUUUCAACAAUGCAGUUAUUUUUCAGAGUUUAGCCAAGAAAUACUAAUAAAGUCAUUUUCCUACUGGGCGGAGAGUCCCAGUCCAAUUUAGUGUCCACAACUAACCGUUGCAAUAUAAUUUAAUCCUUAACAACUCGACCAAAGCCAAGACAACAGUAAAUGUGUUUUUACUCAUAAUUAAGGCUGCUCAAAAGUAAAAGUUAAACAAAGGCAGCGGAACGAUGUACAAAUAAUGACUUGGUAGAAAUGGGUCCAGUAUGUGCUGAUGAAAGUAGAUGUGGGAGUUCCCGUCAUGGCACAAUGGUUAAUGAAUCCGACUAGGAACCAUGAGGUUGCAGGUUCGAUCCCUGCCCUUGCUCAGUGGGUUAACGAUCUGGCGUUGCCGUGAGCUGUGGUGUAGGUUGCAGACGCGGCUCGGAUCCCGCGUUGCUGUGGCUCUGGCGUAGGCCAGCGGCUACAGCUCCGAUUGGACCCCUAGCCUGGGAACCUCCAUAUGCCGCUGCAGCGGCCCAAGAAGUGGCAAAAAGACCAAAAAAAAAAAAAAAAAAA
rnacentral:lncRNA from 1 species